AAGAUUUCUCAAGGACAGUCUCACGGAAGGACACAACAGGGUCUGACUUGAUGAUCUCUGCUCCACCCAUGAAAUCUUCUUGCAAAUCCUUCAAGCAAAUCUCCAGGUGAAGUUCCCCAGCACCAGCAAUGAUGUGCUCUCCAGACUCCUCAAUGGUACAUACAACCAUAGGAUCUGACUUGGCCAAACGCUUUAGACCUUCAACAAGCUUGGGCAGAUCAGAUGCAACCUUACAUUGCACAGCGACACGCACAACAGGUGAGACGGAGAACUUCAUAGCUCGAAUGGGAUGUGCAUCAACUUCCUUCUCAUUGGUCAAAGUUGCGUUCUUAGUGAUAAAUUGAUCUAAACCAACCAUAGCUACAGUGUUACCACAAGGCACAUCCUCAACAGUUUCCUGCCUCUUUCCCAUCCAAAUAACAGUUCUCUGAACACUCUUAACAUACAAGUCUUUCUUCUCACCAGGUACAUAGUUUGGACCCAUGAUCCUAACCUUUAGACCAGUUGAGACCUUGCCAGAAAAUACACGACCAAAAGCAAAG
rnacentral:lncRNA from 1 species